UAUUUAUUCAGAUUAAGCUUAGACGGACUUAAAAAAUUAGAGGAAGCUCAUUGGUCUGCAAAGUCUGAGGAUGUUCUUAUGUGCAAAUUAAAAGGAUAAAGUGAGGAAGAUUGUAUGAAUUAUCUAAAAGUGUUACUGAAUCACGGAAAUAAGUUAUUUGGUACGAAUGGAUUUUCAUCUGAAUGCUCUUGGAGAGAUGUACAGUCCAUAUGCUAACAGUACUGCACUAAUGACGACUCAAGGGGAGCCUCAACAACGAUUUCACAGAUCCUGUCAUUUUCAAAGGCCAGGAAAAAAACUCGAUUACUCGAAUAAUUGAUGCUCAUAAUAAUAAGAAUUGAAAUAAACAUAAUGUCACUGCAAAAUUUAUUUUUUCAAAUUAUCUUAUCUAAAUUAUA